UCACCUGACCAAUGCGAUACCACUGAUACUCAUCAAAAGAAGCGGCAGUAAGAAUGACCUGAGGGAAGCUAGUGGCGGCUCGAAUGGUGCCGUCAAAAUGAAUUCCACGUCCCACAUUGGCGAUCCCAUGUAAUGCUUCGGACCACCACUCAUAAGCCGGGAUACCGAGUCGGGGAACCGGUGGGGCUGAGCUAACGAGUUGGGAAAUCUUCUCAUCUAAUGUGAGCCUAGAAACAAGGUCCCUGGCUCUUUGGGUGAUGGGUAAUGUGGUUUCACAAAAAGGGUAGGAGCUUGUUGAUGGGUUUGAUGGAUCACAAGAGAAUGGAGGCUGAGUUGAGGCAGCUCGGAAGACAAGCAGAGAAAAGAUAGUGAAGAUUACGUAAGAGGGGACUUGGGGUCUCAUUAUGGACUUUUGGUGAGCGGCCACUGGCCAGUGGCGAGUGAGAGCUUACUGAACAGAAGUUUGGUAGAUCAAUGAUGUUUCAUCUGAAAUGACGGAAUUCACCUUGUGGGUAUGAAUGUUUUAUUGGAAAAUUAUGGUUUUGGAUAAGAUAAACAAUUGUUUCUUUAAUUUGCACCUGUAGGGAUGAAUUGCAAGUUGCAACAAAAAACAAAAAGCAGCCGUAACCGAGAAAAAGAAAAUUUCAAGUUGGGGUUUCACUUUCAUGGAUAUACGAAGGAGAUUCCUUUUAAGCCCAGCUUUGAUUUUCAUCUGCAAACAAUUUCGUUUUCCAUUUUGUAUGUUCGUCAAAAGAUGGAAAUGAAUUCAAGAAAGAGGCGUUGUGUUUGUGCGCUGAGCAGUAAGCCAACCCAUUUGAAUAUAGGAGCAGCUUCAAUACGUCCAUAUUAGAAUCUAUCCCACCUUUGAGGCCCCAGCCCAGUUCAUUAGUUGCCCUGCAUUUCUGGCUAAUCGCCCUUGGUCGUUGAAAGCUGCUAGCAAUUUUUGCACUAAAACCAAUAAAUAUAUGUUAUCAUUCCUUGAAUUUUCUUUUCAACCGAUAUUGACGAUUAUUGUUUUAUAAAUUAUCUUAUCCUAAUGUUUACUUACUGUCCUAUGAAAUUGACACCAUGAAAUGUCGGUGAGUAAUGUAAG
rnacentral:misc_RNA from 1 species